AUGAGCUCCAUCUGUCUCCUGCUGUUUCUGACAGCUGUGUCCUGUGUGGAUUCAGUUGAAUUUACUCAGUCAGAUAAUAUAGUGGUACGACCUGGAGAGGUGUUUACAAUCUCCUGUAAAUUCUCUGGGUUUUCAAUAUCCAGCUACUGUCCGAAUUGGAUUCGACAAACACCAUCCAAGACUUUGGAAUAUAUUGGAUAUGUGUGUAGCAGCAGCUCGAAUGUAAAGGACUCACUCAAGAACAAAAUCAGUUUCUCUGUUUAA